rnacentral:ncRNA from 1 species
UUUAACACGAUGAUAGGAAGCAGUAGCAGGCACGUUUUUUUAAAGAGAGUCGAUGGUAGGUGCGAAUCGAUAAAAACACUUGUGAAUCCGUCCUUGAGUUGCUCAGCUGAACGUUAGUAGGCUGCAGCCGGUUAAUAGCCGUUACAAAAUGAGUGGAUUAGGCAUUGGUCUAGUCAAUUAGGGUGGCAACGCGGGUAUGCUCUCGUCCCUUCA